CAGCCAUUCAGAGAAGGGCUGGUCUCUGGGCUUGAGUGAGAAGAAGCAAAAUUUCAACCAGGAGAAGACUUUCUAUCAUGCUCUGCCCUGGCCUGCUGUGGGCAUUCAUGGCCUCCUUCAGCUUCGGAUCCAGCAUGGCUCAGAAAGUAACCCAAACUCAGACCAUAAUGACAAGGAAGGAAGGAGAAUCAGUGACCAUGGACUGCAAGUAUGAACUUGGUUGGAGCAAUUAUUAUUAUGCUUUGUACUGGUACAAGCAGCUUCCCAGUGGAGAGAUGGUUUUCCUUAUUUAUCAGGAUUCUUCCAAGCCAAGUGCAAAACAGGGUCACUUCUCCGUGAACUUUCAAAGCUCAAAAAACUUCAUCAGUCUCACCAUCUCUCCUUUGAAACUGGCAGACUCAGCAACAUACUUCUGUGCUCUUUGGGAUCCCACAGUAAUAGAAAUGACAGUGGAAGAUAAUCAAAAACCUUAGAGCUCCAUAAAGGCAGCCACCUGCUCAGAGGCUUACGAAAACCCAUGAACCACAGAC